CACCUCUCAGGGUUGCACCUGGAGCAUUUCCAGUACUCUUCCAGUCUCGACUACGGGAGGGAGAGUCAAGCAGAGACGUAUCCAUUCCAUUCCUAGCUUGGGCAGUGGCUAGAGAGUGGAAAGCGAUCUGCUACAAGU